rnacentral:rRNA from 1 species
GACGAACGCUGGCGGCGUGCUUAACACAUGCGAGUCGAACGGUGAAGCGCCUUCCUUUUUGGUGGGUGUGGAUGAGUGGCGAACGGGUGAGUAACACGUGAGUAACCUGCCCCCUUCUUCUGGAUAACCGCAUGAAAGUGUGGCUAAUACGGGAUAUUCUGGGUCUGUCGCAUGAUGGGUCUGGGAAAGAUAUUGUUUCGGUGGGGGAUGGGCUCGCGGCCUAUCAGCUUGUUGGUGGGGUGAUGGCCUACCAAGGCGGUGACGGGUAGCCGGCCUGAGCGGAUGGACGGUCACGCUGGGACUGAGACACAGCCCAGACUCCUAAGAGAGGCAGCAGUGGGGAAUAUUGCACAAUGAGCGAAAGCCUGAUGCAGCGACGCCGCGUGAGGGAUGGAGGCCUUCGGGUUGUAAACCUCUUUCGCCAGUGAAGCAGGCCUGCCUCGUUUGUGGGUGGGUUGACGGUAGCUGGAUAAGAAGCGCCGGCUAACUACGUG